AUGGAUUUCGAGAACAUUUUCGGCGAGCACCCCUCUCCGGCCAUUCCCCACUCAUCCUCCUCCCCUGGGACCUCCUCCUCCCUCUCUCCGAGCACCACCGCUGCCCUUUCCUCUGAUGUCACCGUCUCCCUCCCGCCUCCCGUCGACCCACCUACCGAUUCCCUCCGCCUCUCCUUCCACAACGACCACAUCUCAAACCACAUCAAAUUCAAACUCGAUCUGGCCGACAACAACUACAUCAAGUGGCACACUUUCUUCUACUGCGUUCUCAUGCAGUACCACGUGCAAGAUCACGUGGAUUGCCCUCCUCCUCCCAACCCUGAUGCUGUCUGGCUCGCCGUCGACCAUCGCCUUACUCUCUGGCUCUACUUCACCCUUGCCGACUCCAUCCUCGAGCUCGUCAUGGGCGGCGCCGUCAAUGUGUUCACCGCCUGGCGCCGCAUCCGGGACUAUUUUCUGGCGAACCAGGGUGCCCAAUACCUUCACCUGACCCGCCAGUUCCGGAAUCUCAAACAAGGCGACCUCUCAAGUCCCUUGCGGAUGGCCUCGCGGACACCGGCCACGCCGUCGAUGACCACGAUCUCACCAUGCAGCUCCUUCAUGGCUUGGACGCCCACUUCGACACCAUCUGCACCAUCCUCGGCGACACGCAGCACAUGUUUCCCGACACAACCCGCGUCCCUCUCUCCAGUGUUGAGUCGCGACGGCGUCUCACUUUCCCCAUUCCCUAGUCGGCCACCACGGUUCACGGCCAGAUCCCGGCCAACUCCGGCCUGUCCUUGCCCUGCCGACCUUUGUCGCCACCCCCUCCUUCCCCUACCUCCGUCCAGUCCAUUUGCCCGCCAAUUCGCAGCCCCCAACAAACCCUGGCCACCGUCGACACUCACAAAUGCCAACUUUCUCACCGCGGAUUGCAUAGAGGAAGGAGAAAAUGCGAUUUUUGUGGUGGUGCGGCAGUGCGUGGUGGUGAUGCACGGAGACCGGCUGCCGAUGUGGCCGUCCAGGAGGCCAAGGUUCUCGCGGACGACGACGAGCAGGCCGCGGGUCCACGGACGAGGGACGCAGGAGGCCUGCUGUCGCCGAGCACCGCUUCUACUCGUGCGAGGAGCGCGUCCGGGUGCUCAAUCUGGAGUGCAUGGCGACAGCCUCAUCCCUGGUCGCCGCGCCGGGGGGAGGUGGCGGUGGCACAGUAACUCGAGCUCCCCUUCUUCGACCCAGCCCCCGAGCCCGAUGCCUCGUCUCCCCUCAGGUUUGAGUCUGGAUCAACUCAGUUGUACUGUGUCAAUAUCCAACUCAGUUUUAGUGCUGGUGAGCAUGUGCUAUAGCAGUGCACUAACAGUGAGCACAUUACCCCUCCUGGAUACACAUGGCAAGCCGAUACCAUCUUCUUGGAUUGAUCUUCAGUAUAGCAAGUUCAUUGCAACUAGUGCAAGAUUCAAAUCAUUGACUACCUACCUAGCAGCAGCAGCAGAGGCUGGGCGAGUUCGUUUGGUCGAGGAAGAAAUACCAGCUGCAGGUGGUCGAUGCAGCAGUAGCAGUAGGCGUCAGUGGCGGGGCAGCAGCAGUAGUAGGCGUCGGUGGCGAGGAAGGAGCCGGCAGGGAAAGACCACCUCAGCAGCACAGCCGACGAGGAAGGAGCCGGCAGGGAAGGAGAGGCUGGGCCGGCGAUCGGUGUAUCCCAGCAACAGAGACGGGGCGCAGGGAAAGAUUGCGACGGAAUCGCAGAGGUUGACAGGGUUGCAGGUGCAGGUGGGCGGCGCCGCAGUGAUUGGUCGCGCAGGUGGGCGGCGGAAUCACGCAGCUGGGCGCCGGCAAGUGGUCGCGGUGGAUCGAGGACCAGCUCGCCUGGCGGUCACGGCGAUGGACGGCGGAAUCGGUGAGCAGCUGGUGGCGGGUGAGCGGCGGUGGGUGAUUGUGGGUGGGUUGCGAGCACCAGAAUCUCCAGCGCGGCGGAGGAAUCCCAUGGCGUCGGCCUCUGCCCCCUGGCGACGAGCGGGCGCUGGAUGGAGGAAGGAGAAAGAGUCAUUUUUUGUCACACAUAGUAAAGACUCCGAGUCCAACUCCUUGUACUUUGGUGACAGACGCUAG
rnacentral:rRNA from 1 species